UGGGGAAUAUUGCGCAAUGGGCGAAAGCCUGACGCAGCAACACCGCGUGAGGGAUGACGGCCUUCGGGUUGUAAACCUCUUUCAGCUCCGACGAAGCGAAAGUGACGGUAGGAGCAGAAGAAGCACCGGCUAACUACGUGCCAGCAGCCGCGGUAAUACGUAGGGUGCAAGCGUUGUCCGGAAUUAUUGGGCGUAAAGAGCUCGUAGGCGGUCCGUUGCGUCUGCCGUGAAAACCCGGAGCUCAACUCCGGGCCUGCGGUGGAUACGGGCGGACUAGAGUCCGGUAGGGGAGACUGGAAUUCCUGGUGUAGCGGUGGAAUGCGCAGAUAUCAGGAGGAACACCGGUGGCGAAGGCGGGUCUCUGGGCCGGAACUGACGCUGAGGAGCGAAAGCGUGGGGAGCGAACAGGAUUAGAUACCCUGGUAGUCCACGCCGUAAACGAUGAGUGCUAGUCGUCGGCAGGCAUGCCUGUCGGUGACGCAGCUAACGCAUUAAGCACUCCGCCUGGGGAGUACGGCCGCAAGGUU
rnacentral:rRNA from 1 species